rnacentral:rRNA from 1 species
UACGUAGGGGGCAAGCGUUGUCCGGAUUUAUUGGGCGUAAAGAGCGUGUAGGCGGCCAUUCAGGUCCGUUGUGAAAACUGGAGGCUUAACCUCCAGACGUCGAUGGAAACCGUAUGGCUAGAGUCCGGAAGAGGAGAGUGGAAUUCCUGGUGUAGCGGUGAAAUGCGCAGAUAUCAGGAAGAACACCCGUGGCGAAGGCGGCUCUCUGGGACGGUACUGACGCUGAGACGCGAAAGCGUGGGGAGCGAACAGG